rnacentral:tRNA from 1 species
CAGGGAGACAACAAAAUGUUUAAUAUUAUUAUUUUGUCACCUUAGGUCGAUCGGUAUCUCACGUUCUUAAUUUAUUAAGAAUUUCAUUUCCUAAGUUUUUCUAGGUCACACCCAUUAUUUUUCCUGGGCCAUUAGCUCAGGUGGUUAGAGCGCACCCCUGAUAAGGGUGAGGUCCCUGGUUCAAGUCCAGGAUGGCCCAUAUCUCUAUGUUGGGGGUAUAGCUCAGUUGGUAGAGCGCCUGCUUUGCAAGCAGGAUGUCAGCGGUUCGAGUCCGCUUACCUCCACUGAUUACCACCUCUUCCAUAACCGGUAGAAAGGAAAUGUUUUGAGUUGUGAUCAUUAUUCUGAACGAAUCUAGCUUCCUAAUGAAAUCAUUAAGAUGCUGGACUCAUUGAAUUAAUUUCAUUGUUUUCAGAGAACCUUGACAACUGCAUAGAUUAUUUUUAAAGACAAUAAGCAUCUUUAAUGAUGCAGAUUUAUUAUUUGUGCGAAUGCAUUAAUAACAAUUCUAUUAAGCUGAUGCUUCAAUUUUUGAAGUUAUU